UAAUACGUAGGGUGCAAGCGUUAAUCGGAAUUACUGGGCGUAAAGCGUGCGCAGGCGGUGAUGUAAGACAGUUGUGAAAUCCCCGGGCUCAACCUGGGAACUGCAUCUGUGACUGCAUUGCUGGAGUGCGGCAGAGGGGGAUGGAAUUCCGCGUGUAGCAGUGAAAUGCGUAGAUAUGCGGAGGAACACCGAUGGCGAAGGCAAUCCCCUGGGCCUGCACUGACGCUCAUGCACGAAAGCGUGGGGAGCAAACAGGAUUAGAUACCCUGGUAGUCCACGCCCUAAACGAUGUCAACUGGUUGUUGGGAAUUCACUUUCUCAGUAACGAAGCUAACGCGUGAAGUUGACCGCCUGGGGAGUACGGCCGCAAGGUUGAAACUUAAAGGAAUUGACGG
rnacentral:rRNA from 1 species